GGGGAAUAUUGCACAAUGGGCGCAAGCCUGAUGCAGCAACGCCGCGUGAGGGACGACGGCCUUCGGGUUGUAAACCUCUUUUAGCAGGGAAGAAGCGAAAGUGACGGUACCUGCAGAAAAAGCACCGGCUAACUACGUGCCAGCAGCCGCGGUAAUACGUAGGGUGCAAGCGUUAUCCGGAAUUAUUGGGCGUAAAGAGCUCGUAGGCGGUUUGUCGCGUCUGCUGUGAAAACCCGAGGCUCAACCUCGGGCCUGCAGUGGGUACGGGCAGACUAGAGUGCGGUAGGGGAGAUUGGAAUUCCUGGUGUAGCGGUGGAAUGCGCAGAUAUCAGGAGGAACACCGAUGGCGAAGGCAGAUCUCUGGGCCGUAACUGACGCUGAGGAGCGAAAGCAUGGGGAGCGAAC
rnacentral:rRNA from 1 species